rnacentral:rRNA from 1 species
GACGAACGCUGGCGGCGUGCUUAACACAUGCAAGUCGAGCGGUAAGGCCCUUUCGGGGUACGACGAGCGGCGAACGGGUGAGUAACACGUGGGUGACCUGCCCUCAGCUCUGGGAUAAGCCUGGGAAACCGGGUCUAAUACUGGAUAUGACUCCAUGACGCAUGUUGGUGGGGUGGAAAGCCUUGUGCGGCUGAGGAUGGGCCCGCGGCCUAUCAGCUUGUUGGUGGGGUGANGGCCUACCAAGGCGACGACGGGUAGCCGGCCGUGAGAGGGCGACCGGCCACACUGGGACUGAGACACGGCCCAGACUCCUACGGGAGGCAGCAGUGGGGAAUCUUGCGCAAUGGGCGAAAGCCUGACGCAGCGACGCCGCGUGAGGGAUGACGGCC